rnacentral:rRNA from 1 species
UACGGCGGGAGCUAGCGUUGUUCGGAAUUACUGGGCGUAAAGCCCACGUAGGCGGCUUUGUAAGUUAGAGGUGAAAGCCCGGGGCUCAACUCCGGAACUGCCUUUAAGACUGCAUCGCUUGAAUCCAGGAGAGGUGAGUGGAAUUCCGAGUGUAGAGGUGAAAUUCGUAGAUAUUCGGAAGAACACCAGUGGCGAAGGCGGCUCACUGGACUGGUAUUGACGCUGAGGUGCGAAAGCGUGGGGAGCAAACAGG